rnacentral:rRNA from 1 species
UACGUAGGGUGCAAGCGUUGUCCGGAAUUAUUGGGCGUAAAGAGCUCGUAGGCGGCUUGUCGCGUCGUCCGUGAAAACUUGUGGCUUAACCACAGGCUGGCGGUCGAUACGGGCAGGCUGGAGUUCGGUAGGGGAGACUGGAAUUCCUGGUGUAGCGGUGAAAUGCGCAGAUAUCAGGAGGAACACCGAUGGCGAAGGCAGGUCUCUGGGCCACUACUGACGCUGAGAAGCGAAAGCGUGGGGAGCGAACAGG